CAAAUAUUUCAAUCAAGAUUGAUAACGAACUAGCGAUGCUUUGUCAAUGUCAAAAUGCAGCUAUUAUUAGGACAAUGAAGGGGGUAGGUACUGGGUGUUGGUAGAGCUCGUCUAGCCGACGGAGACGGAAUCCGGAAGUUCAGCGAAGUUUUCCGUGGAGCAGUUUCCAUCAGAGGGCAGAGUCAGCUUGGAGGGCAGAAUCUCCUUGACAGCGGAGCAUUUGAAUCACUGUGAAAGAAAGAUGAGAGCAAGAGGGAAUGUGCAGCGCCAGACGCCGGGCCCUGUAGGUCAUGGUCGGUUCUUUGGGAACACAUCUAGUGUCCACAGAAGUGGGAAAGGGCCUGACGCUGGGGACUCCCUUCACAUCAAGGAGAAUUGCUCUGGAAUGCUGUGGCCCAUUUCACCACCCAAGGUAGAGAUAAAAAAACGAAAGAUGCAAGCAGCACCUCACCGUCCUGGAAUCAUGGAGGAUAACAUGGAAAAAAAGAAUGAAAAUAGAAGAUUCCAGCAAGUAGAUUCUUCUGAAAUGUUCUUCCAACAUUUUGAGAUGGACAUAUCCCAAAAGUUGAUAAUUAUGAGGAUUUUAGUACAUCAUUCACACAAAAUAAAGAAUCCACUCUUCUAUUCUAGACUUCAAGGCAGAAUUCUGCUGUUAACACAGAAGUGGCCUUGCAUUCUAAGUAGGAUGGUCUCCAACUUGCUGUAGAAUUGUGGACUUAGAUGAAUGAAUAGAAAGAAAACAGAAAUUUCUUAUAAAUUGGUUUUUAUAUUUACCACCCCAUUGUAAAACUAUUACUAAAGGCCAUUAACCUCGAAAAUAUUUCAAAGCUUGCCGAAAAGGCAGACGUAUGCUAAGAUAAAGGAGAGUCUCUUCUGUAUGCGGCAUCUCUUAGUUAUCGUGUUCGCAAGUCAAAAGUUUCUUGUAGCUGCCGAAUUAGAUUCAAUAUUUUUUUAAAGGAUUACUGUAAAAAGUCAAAGAGCAUUAAGAGGCUCUUAAAAAGAAAUACCCUGCUAUGUAAUGAAACAAAAUGCCAUCUAGGAUGUUAGACGCUUCUCUUUUGUUACACCCUCUUAUUCCUUCAGCAAUGAAACUGUCAAGGGUCAUUGUCCUGCUAAGACGCCAUUGGAAGCCACUCUUGCCUUGCAGGCCUCUUCAAGACAAAGCUCGCUUUAGCACCGACCAAAAAGAGGGCAAGAAGGAAAAGAAAAACAGCUGAAAAUAUGUAGUCACACAAUAAACGACUUGUGACUUCAUCA
rnacentral:lncRNA from 1 species